rnacentral:rRNA from 1 species
UACGUAGGGUGCGAGCGUUUAAUCGGAAUUACUGGGCGUAAAGUGUGCGCAGGCGGCCGCGCAAGUCGAGUGUGAAAUCCCCGAGCUUAACUUGGGAAUUGCGCUCGAAACUACGUGGCUGGAGUGUGGCAGAGGAAGGUGGAAUUCCACGUGUAGCGGUGAAAUGCGUAGAGAUGUGGAGGAACACCGAUGGCGAAGGCAGCCUUCUGGGCCAACACUGACGCUCAUGCACGAAAGCGUGGGGAGCAAACAGG